rnacentral:misc_RNA from 1 species
GCAUGAUGACACCUAGAGGUCAACGUGACGCUGUCACUAUUCACAGAGUAAGUAGUAGCCGGCGACGCUCGAACCCAUCUAUUUACGGUCACGAGAUUCCGCGAGAAACUGACGUCAUAGCUCAUAUGGUUCUUGACUUCGCCCUGCAGUUCAAUUUGUCUGUGAAACCGCCGCUACUAUUUAGAGGGUGCUAUCGAGAAAUGGAAGAAGAUGAUCCAGCUAGCCAUGUUGAUUGCGCCGGUAGUCCAGUAGCUACAUGUAGCCCACGCAGUGGUAGCGACGGUGUGGACACCGACUGCAAUCCGUACGACGGCGGUGUCGGACUUCAGACGACGGACGACGAGAGCGAGGUAUCAGAGACGAAAGCCAAUGGUGAAGAAGUCGACUGCAAGAAAUGUGAUACUGAUAGUGAUAGCGGUAAGCGCGUGGUUAGCGACGAUCUGGACAGGCGAAUCAAUAAGCUGCUAAUAUCUUUAUCCACGGAGGACUCCCCGUUUGGCGCGCAGCUGACUGACAGCCCGCUGAGCCCGACCAGCCCCACCGAUGACCACGAGUUCCGCGUCGCAAACUUUCAGAAGAUCCGCAGCUCGUCGCUGAAAUGCGCAACGAAGAAGGACAUCACGCCGAGCAGGAAGAAGGUGGUCCGCUUCGCCGACGCUCUCGGCCUCGACCUCGCGUCCAUCCGGCACAUCGUGCGUGCCGAAAUGCCGCCGCACAUUCCCGCGCGCAUCAUGGUGCCGCUCCGGCAGUCGGCGGCCCUGUUCGACCCGCAUCGGAACGUCGAUCCCGCCAGCAAGUACCUCACGGCCAACUUCUCGCAGCCCGGCGCAUCGUUUGGAUUUCUCGACCGCGUGCACGAGAAGAAGGUAUGCCUCGAGAACUGCAUCAUCACCGAUCGAACACUAUCCUGUACGGUGCGCGUCGCCAACAUCGGCUUUCACAAGACGGUGCUCGUGCGCUACACGCUGGAUGGCUGGAAGACGCGGCAGGAUAUCAACGCGAUGUACAUCCGCGGCUCGUGCGACGGACCUACCGACAGGUACAUCUUCAGUCUCGUUGUGCCGGCCGACAUGGAAAUUGGAGCCCGGGUCGAGGUCGCGAUCUUAUACAUAGUCAACGGGGAGUCCUACUGGGACAAUAACUACGGUGUCAACUAUCGGGUGGAGAUGUACAUGACGGCAUCGUUGCAUAACGACGACUUAAUGAGCUUCCUGUGAGCGACAAGGUGCUUCAAGGUGUGCGCAUAGACAGCUGUUUGUCGCCGCUAGAGUGACGUUUAGGUUUAACAGCAUCAAUGCAUUUCGACUGUGAACCGCCCCGUAUCUUCUCUGAGUGUACCUGCAAGUAGGUGCGCAGGGAGUUUUACCGACGUACGCGAGCAGUUGGAUAUGAAGCGGUAUUGCAUAGACGAUGUAUACGCUACAUAUCAGCUACAGCUUCUGCUACAGUAGUACUUGCGCAUACUGCACUAGCAAAACGUGCACCGAAUGAGGAGAGAGCUGACGCGGAGAGAUGAGGAGAGGUGUUGGCAAGCAUGGACAAAAAGGCAGCAACCGGCGGCAGGGAACCGAGAAAGAAAGAGAGGAAGACAAUGCAAGGAAAUUGGGAUCAUGGAUCAUAAACACAUAGAAAGAAUAUACAUAUGCUCAAGCGUAAUAAUACAUGUAAUGUUAAUAUAAUAACAAUAAUACAUGUAUUAUAGCUCUUGAUAUGCUAUUUCUGCAUAUGUAUCAAUGCAUUGUUGUACAGAGUAGCUUGACCCAGAUUCUGUAGAAUGUUAUUGAUGUCAUCAAGAGCUAAUAAUACCUAAGAGUGUACAAAGGAAAAACGGGAAAAUAGUGCUAUUUCACGACAUG